rnacentral:rRNA from 1 species
AGCGAACGCUGGCGGCAGGCCUAACACAUGCAAGUCGAACGAACUCUUCGGAGUUAGUGGCGGACGGGUGAGUAACACGUGGGAACGUGCCUUUUGGUUCGGAAUAACUCAGGGAAACUUGUGCUAAUACCGAAUGUGGCCUUCGGGGGAAAGAUUUAUCGCCAUUAGAGCGGCCCGCGUCUGAUUAGCUAGUUGGUGAGGUAACGGCUCACCAAGGCGACGAUCAGUAGCUGGUCUGAGAGGAUGACCAGCCACACUGGGACUGAGACACGGCCCAGACUCCUACGGGAGGCAGCAGUGGGGAAUCUUGCGCAAUGGGCGAAAGCCUGACGCAGCCAUGCCGCGUGAAUGAUGAAGGUCUUAGGAUUGUAAAAUUCUUUCACCGGGGACGAUAAUGACGGUACCCGGAGAAGAAGCCCCGGCUAACUUCGUG